rnacentral:rRNA from 1 species
CCUACGGGUGGCAGCAGUCGAGAAUCAUUCACAAUGGGGGCAACCCUGAUCGUGCGACGCCGCGUGGGGGAAUGAAGGUCUUCGGAUUGUAAACCCCUGUCAUGUGGGAGCAAUUUAAAAAGAUAGUACCACAAGAGGAAUAGACGGCUAACUCUGUGCAACCAGCCGCGUUAAUACAGAGGUAUCAAGCGUUGUUCGGAAUCACUGGGCGUAAAGCGUGCGUAGGCUGUUUGGUAAGUCGUGUGUGAAAGGUGCGGGCUCAACCCGCGGACGGCACAUGAUACUGCGAGACUAGAGUAAUGGAGGGGGAACCGGAAUGCUCGGUGUAGCAGUGAAAUGCGUAGAUAUCGAGAGGAACACUCGUGGCGAAGGCGGGUUCCUGGACAUUAACUGACGCUGAGGCACGAAGGCCAGGGGAGCGAAAGGGAUUAGAUACCCUGGUAGUC